UGGGGAAUAUUGCACAAUGGGCGAAAGCCUGAUGCAGCAACGCCGCGUGAGUGAUGAGGGUCUUCGGAUUGUAAAGCUCUGUCUUUUGGGACGAUAAUGACGGUACCAAAGGAGGAAGCCACGGCUAACUACGUGCCAGCAGCCGCGGUAAUACGUAGGUGGCGAGCGUUGUCCGGAUUUACUGGGCGUAAAGGGUGCGUAGGCGGAUGUUUAAGUGAGAUGUGAAAUACCCGGGCUUAACUUGGGUGCUGCAUUUCAAACUGGAUAUCUAGAGUGCAGGAGAGGAGAAUGGAAUUCCUAGUGUAGCGGUGAAAUGCGUAGAGAUUAGGAAGAACACCAGUGGCGAAGGCGAUUCUCUGGACUGUAACUGACGCUGAGGCACGAAAGCGUGGGUAGCAAACAGGAUUAGAUACCCUGGUAGUCCACGCCGUAAACGAUGAGUACUAGGUGUAGGAGGUAUCGACCCCUUCUGUGCCGCAGUAAACACAUUAAGUACUCCGCCUGGGAAGUACGAUCGCAAGAUUAAAACUCUAAAGUGAAUUGACGGGGUC
rnacentral:rRNA from 1 species